rnacentral:rRNA from 1 species
UACAGAGGUCUCAAGCGUUGUUCGGAUUCAUUGGGCGUAAAGGGUGCGUAGGCGGCGCGGUAAGUCGGGUGUGAAAUCUCGGAGCUUAACUCCGAAACUGCAUUCGAUACUGCCGUGCUUGAGGACUGGAGAGGAGACUGGAAUUUACGGUGUAGCGGUGAAAUGCGUAGAUAUCGUAAGGAAGACCAGUGGCGAAGGCGGGUCUCUGGACAGUGCCUGACGCUGAGGCACGAAGGGCAGGGGAGCAAACGGG